GACAUAACCAGGAUGACUUCAUGAAAAGUUAGCUCACGACAAAAUAGUACUGAUUAUUUACGUAUACAUGUUUCUAGUGACGACAGUUUCAUCUAAACAUUUUCAUUUGGAGGGGCAAAUUGGUAAUGUACCACGGUGUAAGACACUAUUAUUUUACGGCACUAAAAGCCUAUUCUAUAUGGUAUCUUACUGUGAAAUGCGCAAAGCAAUCAAGAUGUGUCGUACAUUUUACAACAGAAGACCAUACAAAUCGCCAACAUCAACAACACGUCACACGGUCACGACCGGUUUACAAAAGGCUGUCAUCGGUAGACUCCGGCUGGCUCUGGUCACGGCAGGCCCGUCAGCUGACUCCUAGUACCCCGGUAUACUGUCAAGCAGACUCCUAGUGCCCCGGUACACUGUCAAGCAGACUCCUAGUGCCCCGGUACACUGUCAAGCAGACUCCUAGUGCCCCGGUACACUGUCAGGCAGACUCAUAGUGCCCCGGUACACUGUCAAGCAGACUCCUAGUGCCCCGGUACACUGUCAGGCAGACUCCUAGUGCCCCGGUUCACUGGUGAACCCCUGCGCUUAACGCGUGAUACAGCAUGGGGUUAAACCCCCGUGGCUAACUACCGUCCAGUGAUGGAUUCAACGUGCAGCUUGCGACGUGCCUCCACUAGGCUCGAAGCCUGGUAAUCAAACUACUGCCCUGCUAGCGGCUAGCAGCCCGGUAACUAAGCUAGUGUCCUGCUAGCCGCUAGGCUAUCAGCCCGGCAAACACACUACUGCAAAGCUAGCCGCUAGGCUAUCAGACCGGUUACCAAGCUGGUGUCCUGCUAGCCGCUAAACAAAGCCGGUUACCGGCAAAGCCCGACGCAGGACGGUGGCAGCCCCGCUCCCUGAUGGAAAUCAUUUUAACACAUUUGAUACAAAUGGACAAAUAUAACGCGUCACUACGAACAACACCACUUCCCCGCGAAACCAGACCAUUCAGUGAUACUAUUUAACCGGGCUGACUGUUAAAAGCAAUGCACCCGGCAUGCUAAGUCGUUAGCAUAAUAGCUAGCGGAGUGUCCCCUCCCCUCCCCGGGCUUCACAUCACUCGAUCCCCAAUACCCAUCACCAGUUAGCACUAAUAAAAUGCAGCUGUCUUUUUUUAAUUAAAAGCCUUUAAACAUGAAAGCUAAAGGGUGCAAUGCGUCAGUGUUGAGCAGAAGGAUACUGAGGUGGCAGACCGGCGGCCGGCUGGGGAGCGACCGGAGCUCCCGGCGGUAGAGACACUGAGCGCCUAGCUUGCAUGCAUUGGGGCAAGCGUCGCAAAUGGUUGAAGCAGGCCCCAGAUCCCGUUGACGAACCAGGAUAACGAAUAGCGACCCAAAUGCCUUUUCAUGGAAAGUCGCUGUUCGGAUCAGCGGUGCUAUUCAUGGGGACGGUGGGAGGUUUGCCUCCCUUGCCCGUCCGGAACCUCCGUGGAUCCGUCCAGCUCAAUUCUUCAGAUGGGAGACUUCGUCAACAUGGCGUUGCGGCCGCUUCCAGCAGUCCGGGCAGGACAGAUGAUUCGGCACUUCUCGGGCAGCUACGUAUAUACUCGGCUUAUCGAAGGAGCCGGUCCGAGUAUUUUCCAUGACACCGAACCUGCGGUUUUGUCUUGAUUGUUUUAACAUACAAUAUUGUUUGGAGACUUCCACAAUUACAUUUGAACAAGCACAUCGUUUUCUUUAAUUUUUUCUAGAAAGUAUCAACCAAAUAAACCAUGUUAUGCAACAAUUCAACGCUGCCAAUUAUUAUACAUGAUUUAAAUGCAUUAAAGAAAAAAAAGCUAUCCAAAUUUUGUAUCGCAACAAGUUACUUGAAUAAAAUAUAUAAUAGGGUUAGUUGAAGAAAAAACGAUCCGAUUCGUGUACCUCUGGCGUCAUCUAGUGAAUAUUUUGCCAUAUUGCAUUUCGAGUUUACACUUGAGUAAGUGACCGUGUAUCAUGAUCCAAGUUGAGGCAAUAGAAGGGGGACUCUAAUGUUCAGAGAGAAGGCAACUUACCAGGUCUUCAUUUCCACCACGAUGCAGACAAGCAUGUCAAACGCCAGAUGGUUGUUUUAAGAUAAAAUUUAUUAGGCAAAAUAGAUCACAAUAAGGCAACAGGAAAAAGUACAGGACACAUACAUGCAUUAUAGCUUACUUAGCUAAAGUGUGAAAUGGACCAUAUAUAGCGUUAGUAUUAUAGCAUUGAAACAAUACACAUCACAUAACACUUUCACUAGUUUUAUUUUCCUGUGAGUUUUGAUGUCCUUGUAGAAUCAUCAUGACGGGGUCAAUAUAAUUUAUAAAAAAGGAGAAAUUUGCAUCUUCCGUAACAAAAUGUGACUAACAUGGGGUUUAAAAUUGGGUGUGUACAUAUAGCAGUACUGCAUCUUUCAAGGAAUCACAUCCCAUGGCUUCAUCUCAAGUGUCCUGUCCACAGUGUCAUCCCGUCUAUUUACAGUCAUUCAUUAAUCAAGCUAAAAAAACCAUAGAAAAGUUAAAACAAAAACCAAGGACUUAAAAAGGCAUUCAAAUGAGUGGUUCUCCCAUUCAUUAUCCGUUGGCUUGCUU